rnacentral:rRNA from 1 species
GGUUACUGCUAUCGAGGUUCGACUAAGCCAUGCGAGUCGAAUGUAGCAAUACAUGGCGAACUGCUCAGUAACACGUGGACAACCUGCCCUUAGGACGGGGAUAAACCCGGGAAACUGGGUAUAAUACCCGAUAGGUCUCGAUUGCUGGAAUGCAUCGAGAUUUAAAGCUCCGGCGCCUAAGGAUGGGUCUGCGGCCUAUCAGGUAGUAGUGGGUGUAGCGUACCUACUAGCCUACGACGGGUACGGGUUGUGAGAGCAAGAGCCCGGAGAUGGAUUCUGAGACACGAAUCCAGGCCCUACGGGGUGCAGCAGGCGCGAAAACUUUACAAUGCUGGCAACAGCGAUAAGGGAACCUCGAGUGCCAGGUUACAAAUCUGGCUGUCGAGAUGCCUAAAAAGCAUUUCAUAGCAAGGGCCGGGCAAGACCGGUGCCAGCCGCCGCGGUAACACCGGCGGCUCGAGUGGUAACCGUUAUUAUUGGGUCUAAAGGGUCUGUAGCCGGCCGGAUAAGUCUCUUGAGAAAUCUGGCAGCUUAACUGUCAGGCUUUCAGGAGAUACUGUCUGGCUCGAGGCCGGGAGAGGUGAGAGGUACUUCAGGGGUAGGGGUGAAAUCUUGUAAUCCUUGAAGGACCACCAGUGGCGAAAGCGUCUCACCAGA